GAUGAAGAACGUAGUGAAAUGCGAUAAGUAGUGUGAAUUGCAGAAUUCAGUGAAUCAUCGAAUCUUUGAACGCACAUUGCGCCCCUUGGUAUCCCGAGGGGCAUGCCUGUUCGAGCGUCAUUUCACCACUCAAGCCUGGCUUGGUGUUGGGCGACGUCCCCUUUGGGGACGCGCCUCGAAACGCUCGGCGGCGUGGCACCGGCUUUAAGCGUAGCAGAAUCUUUCGCUUUGGAAGUCGGGGCCCCGUCUGCCGGAAGACCUACUCGCAAGGUUGACCUCGGAUCAGGCAGGGAUACCCGCUGAACUUAAGCAUAUCAAUAAGCGGGGA
rnacentral:misc_RNA from 1 species